AGUGAACGCUGGCGGUAGGCCUAACACAUGCAAGUCGAACGGCAGCACAGGAGAGCUUGCUCUCUGGGUGGCGAGUGGCGGGCGGGUGAGGAAUACAUCGGAAUCUACUCUGUCGUGGGGGAUAACGUAGGGAAACUUACGCUAAUACCGCAUACGACCUACGGGUGAAAGCAGGGGACCUUCGGGCCUUGCGCGAUUGAAUGAGCCGAUGUCGGAUUAGCUAGUUGGCGGGGUAAAGGCCCACCAAGGCGACGAUCCGUAGCUGGUCUGAGAGGAUGAGCAGCAACACUGGAACUGAGACACGGUCCAGACGCCUACGGGAGGCAGCAGUGGGGAAUAUUGGACAAUGGGCGCAAGCCUGAUCCAGCCAUACCGCGUGGGUGAAGAAGGCCUUCGGGUUGUAAAGCACUUUUGUUGGGAAAGAAAUCCAGCUGGCUAAUACCCGGUUGGGAUGACGGUACCCAAAGAAUAAGCACCGGCUAACUUCGUGCCAGCCGCCGCAGUAA
rnacentral:rRNA from 1 species